rnacentral:miRNA from 1 species
UCUGACGAUUUGGCCCACGUGCU